AAGAUGCGCUAUCGCAUAUUUUAGAGAAAGCAGGGAUCGCAAGACUGCGCUUUGGAGCGUCGAUGUCUGAUAGCUAGUCGUGAGGUAAAGGCUUACCAAGGCUUCGAUCAGUAGCUGGUCUGAGAGGACGACCAGCACACUGGGACUGAGACACGGCCCAGACUCCUACGGGAGGCAGCAGUGGGGAAUUUUGGACAAUGGGGGCAACCCUGAUCCAGCCAUGCCGCGUGAGUGAAGAAGGCCUUCGGGUUGUAAAGCUCUUUCAGCCGGAACGAAAAGGUUACGGUUAAUACCCGUGACUAAUGACGGUACCGGAAGAAGAAGCACCGGCUAACUACGUGCCAGCAGCCGCGGUAAUACGUAGGGUGCGAGCGUUAAUCGGAAUUACUGGGCGUAAAGCGUGCGCAGGCGGUUUUGUAAGUCAGAUGUGAAAUCCCCGGGCUUAACCUGGGAACUGCGUUUGAAACUACAAGGCUAGAGUGUGGCAGAGGGGGGUGGAAUUCCACGUGUAGCAGUGAAAUGCGUAGAGAUGUGGAGGAACACCGAUGGCGAAGGCAGCCCCCUGGGUUAACACUGACGCUCAGGCACGAAAGCGUGGGGAGCAAACAGGAUUAGAUACCCUGGUAGUCCACGCCCUAAACGAUGUCAACUAGUUGUCGGGUCUUAACGGGCUUGGUAACGCAGCUAACGCGUGAAGUUGACCGCCUGGGGAGUACGGUCGCAAGAUUAAAACUCAAAGGAAUUGACGGGGACCCGCACAAGCGGUGGAUUAUGUGGAUUAAUUCGAUGCAACGCGAAAAACCUUACCUACCCUUGACAUGUACCGAAGCCCGCCGAGAGGUGGGCGUGCC
rnacentral:rRNA from 1 species